AUUGAACGCUGGCGGCAGGCUUAACACAUGCAAGUCGAGCGAGCGGCGGACGGGUGAGUAAUGUCUGGGAAACUGCCUGAUGGAGGGGGAUAACUACUGGAAACGGUAGCUAAUACCGCAUACCAUCAGAUGUGCCCAGAUGGGAUUAGCUAGUGGGUGGGGUAAUGGCUCACCUAGGCGACGAUCCCUAGCUGGUCUGAGCGGAUGACCAGCCACACUGGAACUGAGAUACGGUCCAGCCUCCUGCGUGAGGCCGCAGAGGGGAAUAUGGCACAAUGGGCGCAAGCCUGAUGCAGCCAGGCCGCGUGUGUGAAGUAGGCCUUCGGGUUGUAAAGCACUUUCAGCGAGGAGUCGUUACUCGCAGAAGAAGCACCGGCUAACUCCGUGCCAGCAGCCGCGGUAAUAC
rnacentral:rRNA from 1 species